rnacentral:rRNA from 1 species
GGUGGAGCGAAUCACAAAACUCGGUCUCAGUUCAGAUUGCAGGCUGCAACUCGCCUGCAUGAAGUUGGAAUUGCUAGUAAUCGCGAAUCAGAAUGUCGCGGUGAAUACGUUCCCGGGCCUUGUACACACCGCCCGUCACAACCAUGAGAGUCGAUAACACCCGAAGCCUGUGAGCUAACCUUUUAGGAGGCAGCAGUCGAAGGUGGGGUUGAUGAUUGGGGUGAAGUCGUAACAAGGUAGC